AGAGCGGGCCAUCAGAUCACUGAUGGCUGACAAGGUUCUCCUUCUUUUGUUUCCUUAGAUUCAUCUUGACGCUAAAAUACUGUAUGAGCCCCUCAGCACCUUCCCAGGAAGAAAUCUUUACCGUGUUAUGGUGCGUAACUCUUUUUCUGUGCCUUCGUACAUUUUAGACUUGAUCGAGUGAACGACUCAUUACUUUCAGGGGAAAAGGAAUGAGUGAAAUGGGAAUCAGGGUUCUGCAAGGAAGAAAUCCUCACACUUGAAAAUCCAGACUGAACUGGAACACCUCUAGUGUGAGCCAGGACAUCACAAGGGACCACACGUGGAAGGCACAGGCUCUAAAAUCUGAUAUUCUGGUAACUCGAGAGCACCUAAGGGCUUUCACCUAAGGUGAAAGAAUGCAAUUUGGUUGCUCAUGUUGGAGCCACCUAACUGAAGCUGUAGCUUGAACGUAGCUGAGGCACGUGGCUGCAGGGGGGCUUACUCAGCCUGUGGCACCUGUAAGAGGCUGGGCACCUGUUUAUAUGAAAGACCAGACCCCCCCCUCGUUUGGUUUCUUUCCCCUUGUGAUUAUUUCACAGUGACUUUUUUAAAGAUAGGCAGAAGGAGGAGAAAUCCCGAGCUUUCUGGACUUUGCAGUAGAGCUGAGGCAUGCCUGCCUGCGUCCCACAAGGCUGGUGACUGCUGAGCAGGCAGCAGCAAGCGUGAAUAUUGACCAAGCUUGGGUGUGUUUCUGUUCCCAGCAUGCGCUGCCUGUCCCUUCUGAACAUGGCCCUGUUCCGUGGCAAAAGAGACUGCAGCAAAGUAUUCCAGCAUUCUGAACGACCACUUCAAGAGAUUUCCCACAAAAGCACCUUCUCCGUCUGUUGCAAGGAGCACAGGCAUGCCUUCUCCAUCAUUUCCAGUGCCGUCUGCUACCACUUCUCAGCGGGGAGCUGGUAACUGCAGUGGCAACAGUAUGUGCUCUUCAAGCACCGUCUCCUCCGAUAUCCCAGACAUCACCUAUUCCUACGUCAACAUCACUUCCUAUGUUCUCUCUGCGCUUAAUAAUUGGGAACGAGCUGAUGCACUGAUCCUGAAGAAUAAGGAGUUUUUUGGGGAACUCGGCGCAGCAUCGGAGGAGCUGUCACUGACCAGCAGCUUGAUCAGACUGGUCCGCUAUGUUAGACAGGGUUUACACUGGCUGAGACUGGAAAACAACAUGCCUUAACUGGUGCUCAAGUUAGUUAAGUUGGUUGUUGUU